CCUACGGGUGGCAGCAGUAGGGAAUAUUGCUCAAUGGGGGAAACCCUGAAGCAGCAACGCCGCGUGGAGGAUGAAGGUUUUCGGAUUGUAAACUCCUUUUGUUAGAGAAGAUAAUGACGGUAUUUAUCGACUAAGCAUCGGCUAACUCCGUGCCAGCAGCCGCGGUAAUACGGGGGAUGAGAGCGUUAUCCGGAUUUAUUGGGUUUACAGGGUGCGUAGGUGGAUUUUUAAGUCAGCGGUAAAAUGUCCGGGUUCAACCCGGGACGGCAGUUGAAACUGGGGAUCUUGAGUGGGCGAGAAGUAUGCGGAAUGCGUGGUGUAGCGGUGAAAUGCAUAGAGAUCACGCAGAACUCCGAUGGCGAAGGCAGCAUACCGGCGGCCGACUGACGCUGAGGCACGAAAGCGUGGGGAUCGAACAGGAUUAGAUACCCUUGUAGUC
rnacentral:rRNA from 1 species